rnacentral:rRNA from 1 species
UACGUGCCAGCAGCCGCGGUAAUACGUAGGUGGCAAGCGUUGUCCGGAAUUAUUGGGCGUAAAGCGCGCGCAGGCGGUCCUUUAAGUCUGAUGUGAAAGCCCACGGCUCAACCGUGGAGGGUCAUUGGAAACUGGGGAACUUGAGUGCAGAAGAGGAAAGUGGAAUUCCACGUGUAGCGGUGAAAUGCGUAGAGAUGUGGAGGAACACCAGUGGCGAAGGCGACUUUCUGGUCUGCAACUGACACUGAGGCGCGAAAGCGUGGGGAGCGAACAGGAUUAGAUACCCUGGUAGUCCACGCCGUAAACGAUGAGUGCUAAGUGUUAGGGGGUUUCCGCCCCUUAGUGCUGCAGCAAACGCAUUAAGCACUCCGCCUGGGGAGUACGGCCGCAAGGCUGAAACUCAAAGGAAUUGACGGGGGCCCGCACAAGCGGUGGAGCAUGUGGUUUAAUUCGAAGCAACGCGAAGAACCUUACCAGGUCUUGACAUCCCGCUGACCGGUGUAGAGAUACAUCUUUCCCUUCGGGGACAGCGGUGACAGGUGGUGCAUGGUUGUCGUCAGCUCGUGUCGUGAGAUGUUGGGUUAAGUCCCGCAACGAGCGCAACCCUUGAUCUUAGUUGCCAGCAUUCAGUUGGGCACUCUAAGGUGACUGCCGGUGACAAACCGGAGGAAGGUGGGGAUGACGUCAAAUCAUCAUGCCCCUUAUGACCUGGGCUACACACGUGCUACAAUGGACGGUACAAAGGGCUGCGAACCCGCGAGGGGGAGCCAAUCCCAUAAAACCGUUCCCAGUUCGGAUUGCAGGCUGCAACUCGCCUGCAUGAAGCCGGAAUCGCUAGUAAUCGUGGAUCAGCAUGCCACGGUGAAUACGUUCCCGGGUCUUGUACACACCGCCCGUCACACCACGAGAGUUUGUAACACCCGAAGUCGGUGGGGUAACCCUUACGGGAGCCAGCCGCCGAAGGUGGGACAGAUGAUUGGGGUGAAGUCGUAACAAGGUAACC